GAUGAACGCUGGCGGCGUGCCUAAUACAUGCAAGUCGAGCGAACAGAUGAGGAGCUUGCUCCUCUGACGUUAGCGGCGGACGGGUGAGUAACACGUGGAUAACCUACCUAUAAGACUGGGAUAACUUCGGGAAACCGGAGCUAAUACCGGAUAAUAUAUUGAACCUCAUUGUUCAAUAGUGAAAGACGGUUUUGCUGUCACUUAUAGAUGGAUCCGCGCCGCAUUAGCUAGUUGGUAAGGUAACGGCUUACCAAGGCAACGAUGCGUAGCCGACCUGAGAGCGUGUUCGGCCACACUGGAACUUAGACGCGGUCCAGACUCCUACGGGAGGCAGCAGUAGGGAAUCUUCCGCAAUGGACGAAGGCCUGACGGAGCAACGCCGCGUGAGUGAUGAAGGUCUUCGGAUCGUAAAACUCUGUUAUUAGGGAAGAACAAAUGUGUAAGUAACUAUGCACGUCUUGACGGUACCUAAUCAGCAAGCCACGGCUAACUACGUG
rnacentral:rRNA from 1 species